rnacentral:lncRNA from 1 species
UACAAAAAUAAAGAUAUUUCGAGGAAAUAAAAAGGAGCAAGUGCUCGACAUCCUCGCAGAAAAAUGGACAAGUGUCCGACAGUAGAAUUAGGGGUACCUCGGUAUCCACUUAAAAAAAAGAAAGAAAAUGAUUGCCCAUGGUCUCUCUAAUAAGCAAUAUGCCAGCAAGAGUUGACAAGUUUUUAAUUUCCAAAAGUCUUUGAUCUAAGAGUAUGACUUUCCCAUCCUUGGAUCCCGUUUUGAUCAGGCAAUAAAUACAAAGUAAGUAUGCUUGAGAAUUUUUGCAAAUUAAAAAAACCUCAGUGAGAUAUAUAAAAGAUAAUGAGUGACCUGAGAGAACCUAUGAGGAUAAAAGGUAUGCUAAUUUUCUUUUCAAAAAUAUACAAAAACUCCAAGUGACAGGAUUGAAAGGAAGAAAGGAUCUCUACUCUUAACCAUAUACUUCCCUGACUAUAGUACACAGUGGAUUUUAACACCCUGCAGGUACGAAGAGAAUGUUUUAAAAUGUUUUAGCCAAGAUAUUGUUCUUAACCAUUCUUUUCUCGAGGAUGAGUAAAAGCCUAAGUAUGGGGGUAUUUGUUGACGGUUCUUAAGUAUCAAUUUUAAUUAUCAAAUAAACAAGGGAAAGGACCAAUAUACAAACAACACCUAGAAUUAGGGUUUGAUCUGAUAGAAUUCCAUGAGUUUUGUUGUUCAUCUGUUUCUGCAGGGGGUUAUCAACAAAUAAAAAAGAAAGGCCCACAUUUCGGGAUUACAUAGAGAUAUCAACGCACCACGCAAUUUUCUACCAUCUAGAAGACUCCAGAAGCCACGAGAACGAAGCGGAGGCCGAACGGGGCCUGUCCCAGGGCGCCCGCCCCCUCCUGGAUUCUGAUCAGAACUCUUUUUGCGGACGACGCUCCACCGACCUAAAGGAUCAAGGAUAACCGUCCAAUCAAUGUCAGUUUGAUCAAACGGCCCACGUUCACUUGAGGGGACUAUAAAACCAGACCCCCUGGCCCCUGGAGGAGACAAGUUCAUCAUAGAGUUGAGAGGAGCCCUCGAAGGAAUACCUCUCCUCUAAAUAAAAUUUCUUUUAGGCUUAGCACCCAAUGUGAGUAGAAUUAGAUCUUCUAGUUUCUACUAGAUUGAGAGAGAUAGAGUGGAGGUGUAGAUCAGAGGAAGCCCGGCCUGUCGGUGUCUACUCCGAGUUUGUACCUGCGGGAUCAAGUUCUCCUAACCCGAAGUUUGCUCCUAGGAUUCUUCAGUAUUUCAACUUCUAAAUUCUAGUAAGUUCUUGUUUUAUUGUUCUUUGGUUUAUGAGUUUACUUUAAUCUCUUCGCGUAGAGUUUAGAGUAAUCAUCUCUAGCGUAGACGUGGUGUUUGGGCUAGGAUACUCAUAGAUAUUCCCUGACUAGCUAGACCGUGGUAGUAGCGAGGAACGUGACAUUUCUGAGUUACCUUUGAAGACCAUAUCUCGUUAGCAGGAAGGAUAGGGUUUAUAGGUGCGGGUUGAAUAUCCUCUAUAGUGUCUAGAUUCUGUAAGCUUCCCCAAUAGAACAAUAGAUCAUCCUUACCAAGGUUAGAAAGAGAUUACGGUUGUAGUCUUCUCUAUAUAUCACUCACAUCGAGAAACAUUCUUUGUAGCCUAAAGGUUAGUAGUAAUAGACCAGGUUCGUCAGAUGCACUCUUUCUCCUAGUGGUAAAAAAAUAAAUACGAUACUCUAGAUAACCUCCUGGGUGAAGUGCUCACCGAUAUCUGUGCGCUUGCGGAUCAAUUUCUUAUUGCGUUCCCAAAUAUCAACAGUGCACUUGAAGAUUAUUGUAACAAAACCACCUAAAUUAUAAGAGAUUAAGCCUAAUAGUGACCAUUUGCACAGUCGAACCAUCGAGCUUAAGCCCAUAUAAUCCUAAUAGUUUGUGAAAUCUCGAAGGAUUUCAAACCACAAUUCAUACAUACAGCCAAGAUCGUAAUAAGUUCAGCGGUCACCAUUCACAAUUAUAUCCAGUUCGCAACAUUCAUCACAUACAUCGGAGUUACUUAAAGUUAUUACAAACCAAGUUCUCAAGUAGCAGAAGCUUCAUAGUUUUAAAAUAACACACACACACUCAGUCUGAUACAGUGCCAUAGUUUGAUCAUUCCCACAAAAGCAAAAGAGGAGGUAGAGUGACCAUCACCCUUGGUCUAGUCAUCACCCAUCGCUGGGUACAAGCAGAGAAUGCAAUAACCAUAGUACAUCUGCCCAUCUGUAAAACAACAUGGGAAUGGAACCCUGAGUACGAGAAUAUACUCAUCUAGACUUACCUGACAAAACCAAAUUAAAAGACUCUUCAAGGAUCAUGAAGGCUGUAUGUGGGGUAGCUGAGACCUUUUUGUGCAAAAGCGUUACUCAACUAGAAGUAGAUUCUAACAUUUCCCCCCUUUUUCCUUUAAUUAGCUCAUGUUAGGCAUUAUUACCUAUUGUCUAGGUUUGCACCCGUACUAUUACAAGCAAGUGUUGUGAUAUGAUGGUACCUCAUCAUAGCAUUCAUGCAACCAUUUAUCAUUAUAACCCAAGUGUUCCAUAAUCCUUACUACGAGGACGAAGCUCAUGUCAAGUGCUCACUAUCCAGGAGCGAUGGUGAUUCGAAUCGAUUUUCAACCAGCUGGCGAGUUUAUUCCCCACACAAACCACACUCACUGAUCAAGUGAGCUACAGAUCACCGUAUUGCACUAUCCAGGACCAAUUCGUGGGUUCGACAAGCACCGCCUAUACCCGAGGACCGUUUCGGUGACCGAGGUAUCCAAGGUAUACCAAGGUUGCGUGUUCUCCUCAACCAUCACCAAUACAGCGCGUACAUCGGGCCGAUUCCCGGCCCGGAUAGUGCUCAGGCUUCGCGGUCGGAACGACUUAUCCUUCUAGCUAAGUGUGGGGCAUGCGUUCAACAUGACAAGAGGGCCGUCAACGAUCGGUCCUUAAUCGACACGGGCAGGGGCACUACGGUCAACUCCAACAUAAGACCCUGCCCGGUCUCAAGGUCAUUCCCACACAUGGUUACUUUUUCCUAAUAGCAUUGACAGCUAAUCAAACAGGUGUCCACCUAUAUCUCGCAGGUGAUAGGAAUUCACCCGACUUCUACUGUACUAAGCAAGCUAAGCAUAGACUCCGAGCCUAUCUACAUAGGACAAGGUAGAUAAACAGGUGGUGAUAUCAAGGAGUAAGUAUGCAUCAAUGGUAUCAAGCAAUUCCUAUCACUUAAAUGCAACAUAGUGGAACAAUCAUAAUAUAUCAAUUAAGUUAGCGAGGAUAAGGUGGCUUAUAAUGCUUCGGGGCUUGCCUUUCUCAAACGUGCUUGGCUUGUGGUCCGGAUACUCCUGCAGCUCUCCUUCCGGCUCGGGUCCUCUCAUAAGUUCCUGCUCCUGGGUCUCCUCCUGCUCCUCGGUUCCCACCUCGUUCUCCUAUGAGCCUGUAUGAUGCAUGUGUGCUCAUGAGUGGAGUGCGAGAUGCCCGGGGUACAAUGCUUAUGCAAGUGGGUACUAGAUGAUCAUGACAUGGUGCAUAGAUGACAUAGGUGAUUAUUUCUACAAGGUAGUCAACAUCAUCCAAGAACAUGCAUUCAAAUUAAGCAUCUAUUGCAUUCUCUUCCACAAGUUGUUUUCAUCGUUAACCAGCAAGCUAACAUGAGGCUUCAAAGAUACACCAAACACCCUUUAUUCCAUUUAACCUAUGCACAACAAUUCAUAAUUUAUUUUAAUUAUUAUUGGACCUACAAUAGUAGCAUAUACUUCUGAUCAUCAAUAAAUUCCACAAAAUUUACAGUAGAUCACUGGUCACUCAUAAAGUCUACCAUAAAUUUUUCAUAAUAUUUGGACACUCAGUUUAACCUACAAAAAUUACAAGAUUACUCAACAUUAUUAAGUAUAAAUACCCUACUGUUGACCAAGUGUCAAACAACAGAUUUCACAUUUUUAUAAAUUACUUACUAACACAAGAAACACCCACAAAAAUUUCCAGAUUAAUUGCAUGAUCCAAUUAUUUAUUAAAAAUCAUAAACCACUGCCAUGCAAGCAGUUAAAUCAUCAUAAAUCAAUUUAUACAGCAAAUAUUAUGUGACAUAUUUUUCCCAGAGACCAAACAUCCAUGCACAGCUAACAAAGUAAAUUUCAUAUUUUCUAAGUCAUAUUCUAAUUACUAUGCAUUUUCUAAAUAUCAGCAAAAACAUGGAUUAAAUAUAUUUGUACAGAAAAGGUUCAAACAUAACAUGCAGUUACACCAAAUGCAUGGUAGAUCUAGAAUUAUGGAACACGCCAAACUUUAUUUCAUCAUUUUUGGAGCCAUAUAUCUCAAGAUAUGAAUUAAAUAUGACUUUAAUCAUUUUCUGGAAAAUCUUUUAAAACGAAAACUGACUCAAAUCGCUAAGUGCACCCGGAUUCGAACCCGCAGAGGCGCUGACAGGCGGGACCCGUGGGUCAGCCGACCCCACUUGUCAGGCACCCCGCGUUUCCACGGCCGAAGACCGGCCAGAAUCUCACCGCCGGUGAGGUUUCCGGCGACACCGAGAGCACCUACGGCUUCGCGAGCGCGAGAUGAGUCUAGCCGAGCCUCUUUUGGCGCCUGACGAGCACCAGUAUUACCUCGCCGUCGAGAAUGGCGGACGCGGUGGCGCUGCUCGCCGUGGUCCGGCCAUCUCGCGGCGAUAGAGCGUGCGCUAGCGACGGGGAAGGAUGCGCAAUACCGAGGCAGAGCUAACGCACUCAAGGACGCAAGCAAUGGCGGAGAGGAGAGGGAGAACCGCGCGAGCCGAGAGGUCGCCGGAGCUCCGACUCACUCCGGUGAGCUCUACCGUGCGUGCGAGACUCACCGAGCGCGAUUGAGCGCGAGCACGGGGUGCGGAAGGACGAGGCGGAGUCGCUUGUGGUCGCGGAUGGGAGGGAGGAGGCCGGAGCUGGCGGGGAAGAGAGCUCCGAGCGUCGGCAGCAAUGGCGAGUGGCGGUACGGCUGCUGCUGCGCGCGGGCGAAAGAAAGAGCGAGAGGGCGAGCGGGGGAGUGCGUCUGGCAGCAGGGGCAAAGGCGGACGGAGCCGGGCACACCUCGUGGCCGACCAGGGCGCGUCCAAGCCGCCGCAUGUGCGCCACGCUGCGCCCGAGCUCUGCCGGCUCGCCACGACGGCACGGCGCGGUCGUUCGCGCGCGUGCACACGUCGCGGGCGUGAGCGCGGGGAAGGGGGUGAGCGCGGGCGGGCUGGGCCGGCUUCGGCCAGUGGGCUAGAAGUGAGGCCGCGGCCUGCUAGCGCCCCCUUUCCUUUUUUCCAUUUCUUUGAAUUUAUUUUCUCAAAUCUUUUUCUAAAUUCAUUUGGACUAUUUCAAAACCCUUUUUAGCCUUAGCUCCCAAAACAAAAGUUGCCACAAAUAAAAAGUUCUACAACUUUGGUUUUUGUUGAAAUCCCAAAUUCCAAAUAAAAUUUGAAAGACAGCUCAAAACUAGUUAUAGGUUUUUUAAAUAAAUCCAUUUUGGGAAAUUUUGUAUUAAAUCAAUUUCUCAAUUUCUAUAGCUCCCAAAAUUUCACAAAAUUAUUCUUAAUUCUUCAGAAACACAUUUCAAUCUAUUUUGGUUAUCACAAGAGUUUUGGCAACAAGCAUACCAUUUCUAUCAUAUUUAAACCAUGAAAUUUAAGCACAUAAAAUCACACUUGGGUUAAUGCUAUGCUCGUGUGAUGCUAUGCUCGUGUGAUGCUAUGCUUAUGCUAUGCUUGAUGAGAAUGCUUAUCAGACUUAAGUGCAUGCUUAACACCUAGGGUGUUACAUCCCUUCCUCACUUAGUGAAAUCUCGUCCCGAGAUUUUGGGUUACUAACCAUCAUCCACAUUGGAACUGGAGAACUCCACAUGCACUUCCCCUCUGAGAAGGUACGCCGCUAUUUUACUGACCCUAACUAUAUAGUUGAGGACUCUAUGCAGGUCAGGACAAGAAGAAGAUGACACAACCGCAACCAGAGGAGGUAAAUCAUCAAGGACGGAUGGGCAGACUACGAAGGAGAAGUGGUAAGGUCUGAGGACAUACAGUUUAAACAGGAUUGUCCUGAGGAGACCGUAGCACCGAGUUAGGUGUGGAGAGAGAAGAUAGUUAUACACGAAGAGGAGGUGCCGCCGGAACCACUGACUACGCCAUCCAGCGAUUCCUAGGACAACUAAGAAAACAGAGAGUCCCGUUUGGAGGACUUAAAAACACCGAACGCCUUGCCAAGAGGUAAACAUGGUAGUUAUCCCUUUCCCUUCAAAUCAUUUACUUUUUCUUAAAAUAUCUAGUUCAGUUAAUCAUGUUCAUAUCAUCUUGAAAAGAAAAAUAAAAAUGUUAAAACCAGUAAGCCCCAUGUGAGUAUAUAAGUGGCAUAAAACCCAUAAGUCAUUCACUGUGGUGGCAUAAAAAAAAUAUAUAACAAACUAUUCUUCUGCUCUAUAAAAAUGAAAAUAUAAAAAUAAAAAUUGUGAUCCUACCAAAUAAAGUGGCAUUUAUUGAGGAAGCUCAACAUGAUAAAGGCUAGAUAUUUAUGCUAACACCUAAUCAGUAUUUGAGCUCCACAGAAUUCAAGGAUCAAGAACACUAGCAGAUGGAGGACAUUCUAAUCGCUGUCAGGGUGCUGCCGACAUUCAAAUACACUUCUGCCACCUGCUAGCUACAUCAGAAGAAAUUACGUCAAAAUCCAGCUUAGGGGAGAGCACCCCCAUUUAUCCCGCUAAGUAUUUCUAUCUAUAUAGUUAUACUAUAUUAAAAUAAAAAAUAUACAUAACCCUGAAAAACCGAACAAAGAUUUUGUGCUUAUAUAUAUAUCUUUUGCUUGGUGUGCUUAAUAAAUAAAUAAAGUGGCUAUGCUAAACUGAAUCUUAAUAAAACUUUAGCAUGGAUAUGAUGAAUAGUUGCUCUACCUAAUUUUCAAAUUUGAGUUCUCUCUCAGGUUUAGACAUAACUUUUAUAAUUUAAAGCUUGCUCUAAACCUGAACUUGUGGAAAGAGAACUUGAUCUGAAGUCUAAGUUGUUAACGAAUAUGAUAUGGGAAGGUUGAGCUGCUGUUUAUCUGUUCCUAGAGAUGCUAGAAUUCUGGAGAAUUUUAUGUUUGAAAAUCUUUAAAAUAUCACAUGAUGAGUUCCUGUAUGAUGAGAGUUUAAAUUCUUACCACAGCCAUAUAUACGUGCUUGCUAGAUUUUGAGCCACACAUUUACUUUUUACUGCUUAUGAGCAUUGAGUGUGGUCAAGCUGUGUAGACCCUUAGGAGCUUGUCAUGUGGUUAAAUCAAGAUUCACUUGCACGUUCACUCACACAUGCUGCUUCUACUCCGGAAGUAUGCAUCCACAUAUAUCCACUCAUUUCCAUCUCCAGAGCCACCCAAAAGUAUUCUACUCCUAAUCCACACAGAAUAGCCAAAAACAUUCUCCUAUUUCUGUUUUUCCCUGUAAAAUAAAUGCUCGAGUUAUCUUGGUUACUACUAGUUGCUAUAUUAUUUCAGGAGAUGAGUGCUCUAAAAAAAGAGAAAGAAUACGAGGAAAUAAAAAGGAGCAAGUGCCCGGAACUUCAAAAGAAAAGAAAAAGUGAGAUGACAGGUAAAAAUGGACAAGUGUCCGAUAGUACAAUUAGGGGUACAAGAUACCCAACUGAGAGGAAAGAAAAAGAAAAUAUAGAGCACCUCAUUCUCCUCAAAAAGUUUCAAAAGAGCAAGGAAGGUAUGUAUCCCCUCAAAAGAGCAACAAGUAGAAUUAGAUUUCACCAUUGUUAUCACCAUCAUCACCAUACACCAUUCAUUUGCCACACAUGCACAUCUUGAUUUGACUUAUUGACUUGUUUCUCUAGAUCCAUGGUUUGACUAUGCAAUAAAUGUCUUGUAAGUAUGUAUACUUUAUCUCCCACCUAUGAGCUCCAGAUAUCAAAGCCUUAUUAGAGUAGGAUGAGAGAGAAGGCAAUGUCACUAUGCCUUAUACCACGAAUACUACAUACUUUGAGAGAAGGCAUAUACCAUCAUUGCCUUGGUAAGGAUCCAGAAAUGCCACAAAAGAGAGAUCUGAGAGAGUCAUACAAGGAAUCUCUGAGUUUUAUUUGAAAAUCUGCAAAAAAUCCCAUAGCUAUAGCUAAUCAAGAAUAAGAGACAUAGCACUUGACUAGACUGUUCUAUCUUUUAACUACUCAAGACAUAAGUGACGGUUACAAGUCCC